GACGAACGCUGGCGGCGUGCUUAACACAUGCAAGUCGAGCGGUAAGGCCCUUUCGGGGGUACGACGAGCGGCGAACGGGUGAGUAACACGUGGGUGACCUGCCCUCAGCUCUGGGAUAAGCCUGGGAAACCGGGGUCUAAUACCGGAUAUGACUCCAUGACGCAUGUUGUGGGGUGGAAAGCCUUGUGCGGCUGAGGAUGGGCCCGCGGCCUAUCAGCUUGUUGGUGGGGUGAUGGCCUACCAAGGCGACGACGGGUAGCCGGCCUGAGGGGCGACCGGCCACACUGGGACUGAGACACGGCCCAGACUCCUACGGGAGGCAGCAGUGGGGAAUCUUGCGCAAUGGGCGAAAGCCUGACGCAGCGACGCCGCGUGAGGGAUGACGGCCUGUGU
rnacentral:rRNA from 1 species